AACUGAUACUACCUGCGGGAACCUGCGGAAGGAUCAUUACCGAGUUAGGGUCUCUCAGGCCCGAUCUCCAACCCUGUGUAUAUAUUACUUUGUUGCUUUGGCAGGCCUGUCUUUAACCAGACUGCCGGGGGUGGUUACACACCUCUGGAGAGCGCCUGUCAGUGGCCCCCCCUCUUUAAAUUCUUGAUUAAUCGUGAAUUCUGAGUAUCAAAUAACAUUUUAAAACUUUUAGCAACGGAU
rnacentral:misc_RNA from 1 species